rfam:Flavobacteriaceae bacterium TMED42 16183, whole genome shotgun sequence.
UAGGCAGGCUGUCUUAUUGCUCUUGUUUACAAGAGAGGAAAGUCCGGACACCACAGAGCAGUAUAGUGGGUAACACCCGUCGUUCGUCUAGGCGAAUAGGACCAGUGCAACAGAAAGCAAGUACAGUUCGGCUGUAGUGAAAUCAGGUAAACUCUAUGCGGUGCAACGCCAAAUAAGAUUGCGCUUGAGGACGGCUCGUCCGAUGUAAUUGGGUAGGCGGCUAGAAUGUUGUAGCAAUACAAUAUCCAGAUAAAUAAUAAGACUCGACAGAAUCCGGCUUACAGGCCUGCCUUUUUU